rnacentral:rRNA from 1 species
AACGAACGCUGGCGGCAGGCUUAACACAUGCAAGUCGAACGCCCCGCAAGGGGAGUGGCAGACGGGUGAGUAACGCGUGGGAAUCUACCCAGAUCUACGGAACAACAGUUGGAAACGACUGCUAAUACCGUAUACGCCCUACGGGGGAAAGAUUUAUCGGAUUUGGAUGAGCCCGCGUUGGAUUAGCUAGUUGGUGGGGUAAUGGCCUACCAAGGCGACGAUCCAUAGCUGGUCUGAGAGGAUGAUCAGCCACACUGGGACUGAGAUACGGCCCAGACUCCUACGGGAGGCAGCAGUGGGGAAUAUUGCACAAUGGGCGCAAGCCUGAUGCAGCGACGCCGCGUGAGGGAUGACGGCCUUCGGGUUGUAAACCUCUUUCGCCGACGAAGAUAAUGACGGUAGUCGGAGAAGAAGCCCCGGCUAACUUCGUGCCAGCCGCCGCAGUAAGAC